GGUGAACGCUGGCGGCGUGCUUAAGACAUGCAAGUCGAACGGCAGUCUUCGGACUGUAGUGGCGCACGGGUGAGUAACGCGUAACUGACCUACCCCAAAGUCGCGGAUAACGAUUCGAAAGAAUCGCUAAUACGUGAUGUGCUGUCAGAUUGUGUUCUGUCAGUAAAGAUUGAUUGCUUUGGGAUGGGGUUGCGUUCCAUCAGCUAGUUGGUGGGGUAAAGGCCCACCAAGGCGACAACGGAUAGCCGGCCUGAGAGGGUGGCCGGCCACAGGGGCACUGAGACACGGGUCCCACUCCUACGGGAGGCAGCAGUUAGGAAUCUUCCACAAUGGGCGAAAGCCUGAUGGAGCGACGCCGCGUGAGGGAUGAAGGUCUUCGGAUCGUAAACCUCUGAAUCAGGGACGAAAGACACUUCGGUGGGAUGACGGUACCUGAGUAAUAGCACCGGCUAACUCCGUGCCAGCCGCCGCAGUAACAC
rnacentral:rRNA from 1 species